UGAAGUAUGAUUACGGGUUGCUCCACCCAGCAUUCAAGCGACCGAAGAGCGUUCCUAAGCUCAAGAACAGAUCGCCCACGAGUCCGACUAAAGAAACUUCAAGUGGAAAGAUGCGCGAGUGACUAUGUUGCCAUCCAUCAAGUUCUUGAUCGAGAACAAGCUUCCCGUUUGGAUAUUCAGUGGUGAUUUCGACUCCGUAUGCCCUCUUCCGGCGACGAGGUACUCUAUUCAAGACCUUGGCCUUCCUGUGACUACUCCAUGGCGCCCAUGGGUGGCAAAGGGGGAGGUGGCAGGAUAUGUUCAGCAGUACGCCGGAGGAUUGACAUUUCUAUCAGUGAGAGGUGCCGGUCAUCUUGUUCCGUCCUUACAGCCUGAGAGAGCGCUGAAACCCACAAUGACGCACCAAACAACCUGGACCUCAUUUUGUAAAUAUGUUGACGAGGAGAUCUUCGUCAUGGACCUCAAGAAGGGCUUCGUCUCCACAGGGAACUACGAGGGGACGCCGGACGCGAGCUUCACCUUCACGGACGACGACUUCCUCCCCAUCACCAGUGGCAAGUUGAACCUGCAUAUGGCGUUUAUAAGGGGUAAGCUGAAGAUCAAGGGGAGCAUCAACACCGCGCAGAAGUUCACGCCGGACAUCUUCCCUAAGCCCUCCAAGUUGUAGAACGCGGGAUUGCCAUGCUUGCCUUGCCCUGAUGAUCGGUUAAUAAACAUGAUGGGGGAGGACUACUGCCAGUGGGAUUGUACAAUGAGAUUGUGCUUUUUUAAAGCCUGCUUCUGGAUAUUUUGACAAAAAUUGAUUUUGCUCGAGGAUGGUGCCCUUUAUGUGCAUGAAUUGAUGGGUGUGUUCCCAACGUAGAGCAACGCUUCUCUGUCCAAGUCUCAUGUCUUUCUCUUCAGCACGGAUCAUCGAGUACUACCGAGCAAAAAUGUCCUUAUCUUCGUUUGUUUCUUCCUUUUCCUUACUACUUUUGUGGCCCCAAAUCUCAUGAUGGCUCUAUGCCUGUUCUUUUUGUUGACAUGAAUUUUAACAUGAAAAUUUCCUACUGAUCUACAAUGUUCUGUUAUCUAAA